GGGGGCGACCUGGUUUCGACGUGGAUCACAAAGCCAUCGGAGCAUGCCGAGGUGCAGGUCUCCUCGUUAAUCCAACUGCACACUUUAUAGUUGCCAACGACGACAACUACGCCCUAGCGGCUUAAUCCCCGCUAGUCUCUCCCCCGGCUCGCCCAUGGGCUGGGAUCCGAGGGAUCAAAUCACAUGGGCUCGCGUGACGGGGUGCUCGUGACCCGCCACGCCAAACUUAAGCGGGCUCGCCGGCCGUGACCCUGUCUGUCGGGGCACGUUCGGUCAAAUCAAAGACAGACUAAGCAUGUAGUCGCCGGUGAGUGGCGGAUUGACGGACGCGGGUUCGAUUCCCGCCGCCUCCACCA
rnacentral:tmRNA from 2 species